GGCCUAACACAUGCAAGUCGAACGCGGUUUUCCCGCAAGGGAAGACUGAGUGGCAAACGGGUGAGUAACACGUGGGUGACCUGCCUUCGAGUGGGGGAUAACGUUCCGAAAGGGACGCUAAUACCGCAUAACAUCCUGUCUUUUAAGAGAUGGACAUCAAAGCCUGGGACCGCAAGGCCAGGCGCUUGAAGAGGGGCCCGCGUCUGAUUAGCUAGUUGGUGGGGUAAUGGCUCACCAAGGCAACGAUCAGUAUCCGGCCUGAGAGGGCGGACGGACACACUGGGACUGAGACACGGCCCAGACUCCUACGGGAGGCAGCAGUGGGGAAUUGUUCGCAAUGGGCGCAAGCCUGACGACGCAACGCCGCGUGGAGGAUGAAGAUUUUCGGAUCGUAAACUCCUUUCGAUCGGGACGAAUGGCCUUUGGGUUAAUAGCCCGAGGGAAUGACGGUACCGAGAGAAGAAGCCCCGGCUAACUCCGUGCCAGCAGCCGCGGUAAUACGGGGGGGGCAAGCGUUGUUCGGAAUUACUGGGCGUAAAGGGCUCGUAGGCGGCCAACUAAGUCAGACGUGAAAUCCCUCGGCUUAACCGGGGAACUGCGUCUGAUACUGGAUGGCUUGAGUUCGGGAGAGGGAUGCGGAAUUCCAGGUGUAGCGGUGAAAUGCGUAGAUAUCUGGAGGAACACCGGUGGCGAAGGCGGCAUCCUGGACCGACACUGACGCUGAGGAGCGAAAGCCAGAGGAGCAAACGGGAUUAGAUACCCCGGUAGUCCUGGCCCUAAACGAUGAAUGCUUGGUGUGGCGGGUAUCGAUCCCUGCCGUGCCGAAGCUAACGCAUUAAGCAUUCCGCCUGGGGG
rnacentral:rRNA from 1 species